GACGAACGCUGGCGGCGUGCCUAAUACAUGCAAGUCGAGCGGACUUUCAAGAAGCUUGCUUUUUGAAAGUUAGCGGCGGACGGGUGAGUAACACGUGGGCAACCUGCCUGUAAGACGGGGAUAACUCCGGGAAACCGGGGCUAAUACCGGAUAAUAACUUUCUUCGCAUGAAGGAAGGUUGAAAGGCGGCGCAAGCUGCCGCUUGCAGAUGGGCCCGCGGCGCAUUAGCUAGUUGGUGAGGUAACGGCUCACCAAGGCGACGAUGCGUCGCCGACCUGGGAGGGUGAUCGGCCACACUGGGACUGAGACACGGCCCAGACUCCUACGGGAGGCAGCAGUAGGGAAUCUUCCGCAAUGGACGAAAGUCUGACGGAGCAACGCCGCGUGAGCGAAGAAGGUCUUCGGAUCGUAAAGCUCUGUUGUCAGGGAAGAACAAGUACCGUUCGAAUAGGGCGGUACCUUGACGGUACCUGACCAGAAAGCCACGGCUAACUACGUGCCAGCCGCCGCAGUAA
rnacentral:rRNA from 1 species